ACUCAAAUGAAUAGACGGGGGCCCGCACAAGCAGCGGAGCGUGUGGUUUAAUUCGAUGCGACGCGAAGAACCUUACCUGGGUUUGACAUCUGGUUGCACCACCCGUAAUGGGGUGUCCCUUCGGGGCGGCCAGACAGGUGCUGCAUGGCUGUCGUCAGCUCGUGCCGUGAGGUGUUGGGUUAAGUCCCCUAACGAGCGCAACCCCUGGGGUCCGUUGUAAUUUUCGGGCCCGACUGCCGCGCGCAACGCGGAGGAAGGUGGGGCUGAAGUCAAGUCAGCACGGCCCUUACGUCCAGGGCAACACACACGCUACAAUGGCCGGUACAAUGGGUCGCCAAGGCGCAAGCCGGAGCCAAUCCCCCAAAGCCGGUCUCAGUUCGGAUGGCAGGCUGCAACUCGCCUGCUUGAAGCUGGAGUUGCUAGUAACCGUGGGUCAGCACACCACGGUGAAUACGUUCCCGGGCCUUGCACACACCGCCCGU
rnacentral:rRNA from 1 species